rnacentral:rRNA from 1 species
AGUGAACGCUGGCGGUAGGCCUAACACAUGCAAGUCGAACGGCAGCACAGUAAGAGCUUGCUCUUACGGGUGGCGAGUGGCGGACGGGUGAGGAAUACAUCGGAAUCUACUUUUUCGUGGGGGAUAACGUAGGGAAACUUACGCUAAUACCGCAUACGACCUACGGGUGAAAGCAGGGGAUCUUCGGACCUUGUGCGAUUGAAUGAGCCGAUGUCGGAUUAGCUAGUUUGCGGGGUAAAGGCCCACCAAGGCGACGAUCCGUAGCUGUUCUGAGAGGAUGAUCAGCCACACUGGAACUGAGACACGGUCCAGACUCCUACGGGAGGCAGCAGUGGGGAAUAUUGGACAAUGGGCGCAAGCCUGAUCCAGCCAUACCGCGUGGGUGAAGAAGGCCUUCGGGUUGUAAAGCCCUUUUGUUGGGAAAGAAAAGCAGCAGGUUAAUACCCCGCUGUUCUGACGGUACCCAAAGAAUAAGCACCGGCUAACUUCGUG